rnacentral:lncRNA from 1 species
AUCAUGUUUCUGGUUGUUACUCCGGUUUUUAUGCUCUUUUUUUUUGGGAUAUUAUUUCUGGCUUUAAUAAUCUAUUUAUGUUCAAAUUUAGUUUGUCCCUUGCCUUCUUGUUUGCAUGCAUUCUUUUCUUACAGGUUAGGAAGAUAUCAUAAAAUUUUUUAUUUAUUUAAAUAGUAUUUUGCUAUUAAAGAAUAAUUAAUUAAAAAAAUCUCUUUUGCAUAGCAGCUUUUUGUCAUGAUUACUUAUAAUACAAUUAAUUAUGAAGGUUUGAAACCAGUGUUUUGAAAUACGGUCUUGGCAUCCGCCUAGACAGCGUUUAGGUGCUAUACAAUAGCCAAUUGUAC